GCCCCCUUUGUCUAAUGGUUAUGACGUCAGACUUCUACCUUGUGUGGGAGUCAUAUCUACUCUUAAGGUGAUAAUCUGGAGGUUGCGGGUUCGAGUCCCGCAGGGGGUU